rnacentral:lncRNA from 1 species
CAGCUGUUGCUGAUGAAUAUUCGAAAGGUUGCUCUGCUGAGCCAUCAACUGGUGCUGCUGCUGCUGUUGCUGCUGCUGCAGGUUUGGAAGAUUAUUUUGCUGGCUUAGCAGCCUCUGCUGCUGUUGCUGCUGCUGCUGCUGCAAGUCAGAAAAGCUGUUUUGUUGUCCAAUCAACUGAUUUGAUUGCAUGGUUGUAGCAUUGGGUGGUUGUCCUAUAAGCUGCUGCUGCUGCUGUGAGGGCAAUAUUGGCUGCUGUGUCAUUGAUGUUUGCUGUUGAUGCAUAACAGGAGUCUGUUGUGGCUGUUGCUGUUGCCUGAGAACCGCCGGUGGAUGUUGCUGAAGCACAGAUUGUGAUGACUGUUGAACAGAAGACGGCUGAUUCUGUUGAAGGCCAGACAGAGGAGCUGAUUGCAUACCAGAUGAAGUUUGCAUGACGGAUUGCUGAGACGAUUGGAACUGAUUUGAUUGUAACAGAGUCUGCUGCUGCUGCUGUUGCUGAUACUUCUGUUUUAAAAGGUGAUGUUGCAACUGCUGCUGAUAAAUGUACUGCUGUGAGCUCUGGGACUGCUGCUGUUGCUGUUGUGGAACUACCUGUGGCCUUCCUUGGCUCUGCCUCUGAGA